CCUACGGGAGGCAGCAGUGGGGAAUUUUGGACAAUGGGCGCAAGCCUGAUCCAGCAAUGCCGCGUGCAGGAAGAAGGCCUUCGGGUUGUAAACUGCUUUUGUACGGAACGAAACGGCUCUGGUUAAUACCCGGGGCUAAUGACGGUACCGUAAGAAUAAGCACCGGCUAACUACGUGCCAGCAGCCGCGGUAAU
rnacentral:rRNA from 2 species